rnacentral:rRNA from 1 species
GACGAACGCUGGCGGCGUGCUUAACACAUGCAAGUCGAACGGAAAGGCCCUGCUUUUGUGGGGUGCUCGAGUGGCGAACGGGUGAGUAACACGUGAGUAACCUGCCCUUGACUUUGGGAUAACUUCAGGAAACUGGGGCUAAUACCGGAUAGGAGCUCCUGCUGCAUGGUGGGGGUUGGAAAGUUUCGGCGGUUGGGGAUGGACUCGCGGCUUAUCAGCUUGUUGGUGGGGUAGUGGCUUACCAAGGCUUUGACGGGUAGCCGGCCUGAGAGGGUGACCGGCCACAUUGGGACUGAGAUACGGCCCAGACUCCUACGGGAGGCAGCAGUGGGGAAUAUUGCACAAUGGGCGGAAGCCUGAUGCAGCAACGCAGCGUGAGGGAUGACGGCCUUAGGGUUGUAAACCGCUUUCGCCUGUGACGAAGCGUGAGUGACGGUAAUGGGUAAAGAAGCACCGGCUAACUACGUG